GUCGAACGAAGUAGCAAUACUUAGUGGCAGACGGGUGAGUAACAUGUAGGUAUCUACCCUAUGGCCUGGAAUAACACGAGGAAACUUGUGCUAAUACCGGAUAAGUCUUUACAGAGAAAGCUUUAUGCACCAUUGGAUGAGCCUGCACUUGAUUAGUUUGUUGGUAGGGUAACGGCCUACCAAGACUUUGAUCAAUAGCUGAUUUGAGAGGAUGAUCAGCCACAUUGGGACUGAGACACGGCCCAAACUCCUACGGGAGGCAGCAGUGGGGAAUCUUGCACAAUGGAGGAAACUCUGAUGCAGCGAUGCCGCGUGAGUGAAGAAGGCCCUUGGGUUGUAAAGCUCUUUCGUCGGGGAAGAAAAUGACUGUACCCGAAUAAGAAGGUCCGGCUAACUUCGUGCCAGCAGCCGCGGUAAUAUGAAGGGACCUAGCGUAGUUCGGAAUUACUGGGCUUAAAGAGUUCGUAGGUGGUCGAAAAAGUUGGUGGUGAAAUCCCAGAGCUUAACUCUGGAACUGCCAUCAAAACUUUUCAGCUAGAGUAUGAUAGAGGAAAGCAGAAUUUCUAGUGUAGAGGUGAAAUUCGUAGAUAUUAGAAAGAAUACCAAUUGCGAAGGCAGCUUUCUGGAUCAUUACUGACACUGAGGAACGAAAGCAUGGGUAGCGAAGAGGAUUAGAUACCCUCGUAGUCCAUGCCGUAAACGAUGUGUGUUAGACGUUGGAAAUUUAUUUUCAGUGUCGCAGUGAAAGCGAUAAACACACCGCCUGGGGAGUACGACCGCAAGGUUAAAACUCAAAUGAAUUGACGGGGACCCGCACAAGUAGU
rnacentral:rRNA from 1 species